rnacentral:piRNA from 1 species
UCCAAGCUUUAACAGUAUCUCAGU